AACAAUUGUACUAACCAAUGUGAUGAUAUUCCUGCUGGUACUGGUCUUUCUCUUAUGCCUGUGCAGGUCCCUGGAGAAAACGGUGCUCAAAAUGACCAAGAUCUCGAAAAUAUGGCUGGUUUUGAUCCUAUAUUUCAUGCUGAGGAAGGAGACGAAGCUGGCACAGAUGACGAAGAAGAUCUGGCGGCGCCUGCCACCCCUGCACGCGCGCAGAUCUCGGAUCACGCGACCGCAUCCGCCUCGGAUCAAGCCCCUGAUGGCUCCAAUCCUGGAUCCAGGGCGGGCCACUCCCGUGCUGCCGCGUCAGCUUCAGGCGGGACCAGCAGCGGGGCCGAAUCCCCCUCGCCCCGCGCGCCAGCGUCAGGCGGGACCAGCGGCGGGACCAGAUCCUCCCCGCACCACGCGCGCCUCCAGUCACGAUCGGGUGGCGGAUCCUCUGCGCCAGUGCCUGCAGAAGGGGCAGCCACACCAGAAGCCACAGGAUCCCCUGCGCAUAUGACGACA
rnacentral:rRNA from 1 species